rnacentral:rRNA from 1 species
UACGUAGGGUGCAAGCGUUAUCCGGAAUUAUUGGGCGUAAAGAGCUCGUAGGCGGUUUGUCGCGUCUGCUGUGAAAACCGGAGGCUCAACCUCCGGCCUGCAGUGGGUACGGGCAAACUAGAGUGCGGUAGGGGUGACUGGAAUUCCUGGUGUAGCGGUGGAAUGCGCAGAUAUCAGGAGGAACACCAGUGGCGAAGGCGGUUCUCUGGGCCUUACCUGACGCUGAGACGCGAAAGCGUGGGGAGCGAACCGG